rnacentral:rRNA from 1 species
UACGUAGGUGGCAAGCGUUGUUCGGAAUUAUUGGGCGUAAAGGGCAUGUAGGCGGUUGGAUAAGUGUGAAUUGAAAGACCGGAGCUUAACUCCGAGUUUGGUUUGCAAACUAUCUUACUAGAGUACAGAAGGGGAAACUGGAAUUCCGCGUGUAGGGGUGAAAUCUGUAGAUAUGCGGAAGAAUACUUGUGGCGAAGGCGAGUUUCUGGUCUGUAACUGACGCUGAAAUGCGAAAGUGCGGGGAG